CCUCCCUCUUAAAUCAGUUCAUUUCUGGGAAAGAGCUUUCUUCCAUAAAAUGGGCUGACACCAUUCCUUUAACGUCUGUUGAGGGAUUCUAGCUCUUCCUGGUAGAGCCACUGACUACCAAAUUUCUUCCCUUCUGCACACCAGACCCUACCCUGAGGACAGCCACUAGAUGCCAGCUCAGUCUCUCUCCUUUGGGUUCCAUCCCUCAGUUCUUUUAGCCAUUUCGUGUGUGUUGUGUUGUGCAGUCCGUCACCCUGUCAAUCACUCUCAGAACCUCCCUCCUCCCACAAUGCAGCUGGAGCGAGGCUGGGGGCGGGGGGCGGGUUCUGCUUUCUGCUGUGCUCCUUUCUGAAAUCAACAUGCCAGAGACCCCUGGCUUUGCCUGUCAAGCAUGCCUUUCUACUUCCUGAGUAAAAGCACAUUAGUUACCCAUAAGGAAAGUAGUCUUAUUCUCAAGAGUCCGGGGUCUCCCUGGCCCCUCCCUCAGGGCCAGCUGAAGCCCUCUGGACUCUGGCUCCUGGAGUUCCAGCCUUUGGGGGAAUGAUGUAACAGAAAUCAGAGGAGCAGAGAAACCCCAUUGGCUACAUUCGUGGGGAAGGCGGGUCUUCUUCCUGAGGCUUGGCUCUUCAGCAGUCAACAAUUAUUCCUCCCCUUUCUAGAAAAUUCCUUUUGGAUUAAGGGAGAGUCCAUUUCGGUUGCUUGUAACAGAAGAGCUCAAAGCCAAAUUACCCGACCCUGCCCCAGUCCUGACAGAUCACUGGGAACCAGACUUCUCCAUCUGUCUCACAGAUCAUGUGUAUCAUGUCCUGUUGUCUGCUGAUCGGGCCAACUUGCCAUCAAGGUCUCCAAUCAAAUGACCAGCAAAAACGCAUUGUGGUGUCCCCAGAGCCUUCCAAGAAUGGGUCAACACAGCUCUGCAGGGGGAGAGGCAAGGCAGAGCCUGCAGAUUGUACCAGCACGAAAAAGCAACUGGAUGCAAGGAGGCGCAGCAGCCGUGGGGAGCGUGCAGGGGUUUCUCACCAUCUACAAAGCGGUUUUGACUCACACAGCCUUAAUUAGCAUCCGUGAUAUCCCACAGCGUGCGUAUAAGUGCUACUUCCAUCUGAUAGACAAGAAAACUGGCGUCCAAAGAGGGGAAGAACUUCUCUAUAUAGAAAGUUAAAGGCAGGGCUAGCCUUAAACCUGUCUUUUUAAAACCUGCUGUAUGAGUUCCAUCCAGUAAGACACAGCUCUUCAGUGUUCAGUUUGAUGAACACAAGGUAAACACCUGAACCUUGGGAAGCCCUGGAUUAUGUUGUGUGGAGCAGGAACCCUGCCUGGGCUCAGGCAGACCCUGGCUAGACCUGGUCUUGCCGUGUGGAGGAAUAUAACCAGGAGAUGUUGACUACAGACUGGAGCAGGAAAGUAGGAUUUAUUGAAAGGCAAAGGGAUGGUAUACACUGAGAUGUGAGUAUGUUGCAGCCAUCCAGAGAGUGAAUGAGUGGAUGGAAGACCUCUCUCCUCUCUCUCUCUUUCUCUCUGCCUCUGUGUAGCUCUGCCUUUCAAAUAAAUAAAUCUUAAGAAAAAAAAGUUUAAAAAAUAUAUAAAAGAAUUUGGCUCUGAGAUAAAGAACGUGGAAUUGGGGGAGAGUGUUGUAGUGGCUGGCAAAGCUGCCUGCCCCUUGGGACUUCCACGUCCCUGUACAGAGUACCGGUGAGUCCCGGCUACUCUGCUGCUGCUGAUCCAGGUUCCGGCUUACACAUCCUGGUGAUGCAGGCAAGGCAGGGAGUCAGGAAGGGAUGGGGCUCGAGGGGUUGCCAACACCCAAGCCAUGUGCGCCCAAAUCCCAUCACUUCCUGUGCUGAUUCAACCUCUUCUUCUUGCAACUAAGCCUCACUUCCCAGAGGAGCACCACCUUCCUGGAGACCACCACGCUGGUGCUGCUGCAGCCCCACCCCAAAUCCUGUCAACUGUGCAUCUUCAGUCAGGUCCUAUCCUAUAAAGGAUCCAUCCCCACCCUAUAAAAGGACCGCCCCAGCCUGGAUGGGGGCGGGGCAAUUCUCCCUCUUGAAAUUGCUCACAGCCACGAGAGUGUGUACCUUUUUGCCUUUCAAUAAAUCCUACUUUUCUAUUCAUCUCUGAGUCUCCUGAUUAUUUUCCUCUAUGUGGGGGAUAAGA